GACGAACGCUGGCGGCGUGCCUAAUACAUGCAAGUAGAACGCUGAAGGAGGAGCUUGCUCUUCUGGAUGAGUUGCGAACGGGUGAGUAACGCGUAGGUAACCUGCCUGGUAGCGGGGGAUAACUAUUGGAAACGAUAGCUAAUACCGCAUAAUAUUGAUUAUUGCAUGAUAGUCAAUUAAAAGGUGCAAUUGCAUCACUACCAGAUGGACCUGCGUUGUAUUAGCUAGUUGGUGAGGUAACGGCUCACCAAGGCAACGAUACAUAGCCGACCUGAGAGGGUGAUCGGCCACACUGGGACUGAGACACGGCCCAGACUCCUACGGGAGGCAGCAGUAGGGAAUCUUCGGCAAUGGACGGAAGUCUGACCGAGCAACGCCGCGUGAGUGAAGAAGGUUUUCGGAUCGUAAAGCUCUGUUGUAAGAGAAGAACGAGUGUGAGAGUGGAAAGUUCACACUGUGACGGUAUCUUACCAGAAAGGGACGGCUAACUACGUGCCAGCAGCCGCGGUAAUACGUAGGUCCCGAGCGUUGUCCGGAUUUAUUGGGCGUAAAGCGAGCGCAGGCGGUUAGAUAAGUCUGAAGUUAAAGGCUGUGGCUUAACCAUAGUACGCUUUGGAAACUGUUUAACUUGAGUGCAAGAGGGGAGAGUGGAAUUCCAUGUGUAGCGGUGAUAUGCGUAGAUAUAUGGAGGAACACCGGUGGCGAAAGCGGCUCUCUGGCUUGUAACUGACGCUGAGGUCGAAAGCGUGGGGAGCAAACAUG
rnacentral:rRNA from 1 species